AUGGAGAGUUUGAUUCUGGCUCAGAACGAACGCUGGCGGCGUGGAUAAGACAUGCAAGUCGAACGAGAGAAUUGCUAGCUUGCUAAUAAUUCUCUAGUGGCGCACGGGUGAGUAACACGUGAGUAACCUGCCCCCGAGAGCGGGAUAGCCCUGGGAAACUGGGAUUAAUACCGCAUAGUAUCGAAAGAUUAAAGCAGCAAUGCGCUUGGGGAUGGGCUCGCGGCCUAUUAGUUAGUUGGUGAGGUAACGGCUCACCAAGGCGAUGACGGGUAGCCGGUCUGAGAGGAUGUCCGGCCACACUGGAACUGAGACACGGUCCAGACACCUACGGGUGGCAGCAGUCGAGAAUCAUUCACAAUGGGGGAAACCCUGAUGGUGCGACGCCGCGUGGGGGAAUGAAGGUCUUCGGAUUGUAAACCCCUGUCAUGUGGGAGCAAAUUAAAAAGAUAGUACCACAAGAGGAAGAGACGGCUAACUCUGUGCCAGCAGCCGCGGUAAUACAGAGGUCUCAAGCGUUGUUCGGAAUCACUGGGCGUAAAGCGUGCGUAGGCUGUUUCGUAAGUCGUGUGUGAAAGGCGCGGGCUCAACCCGCGGACGGCACAUGAUACUGCGAGACUAGAGUAAUGGAGGGGGAACCGGAAUUCUCGGUGUAGCAGUGAAAUGCGUAGAUAUCGAGAGGAACACUCGUGGCGAAGGCGGGUUCCUGGACAUUAACUGACGCUGAGGCACGAAGGCCAGGGGAGCGAAAGGGAUUAGAUACCCCUGUAGUCCUGGCAGUAAACGGUGCACGCUUGGUGUGCGGGGAAUCGACCCCCUGCGUGCCGGAGCUAACGCGUUAAGCGUGCCGCCUGGGGAGUACGGUCGCAAGAUUAAAACUCAAAGAAAUUGACGGGGACCCGCACAAGCGGUGGAGUAUGUGGCUUAAUUCGAUGCAACGCGAAGAACCUUACCUGGGCUUGACAUGUAAUGAACAACAUGUGAAAGCAUGCGACUCUUCGGAGGCGUUACACAGGUGCUGCAUGGCCGUCGUCAGCUCGUGUCGUGAGAUGUUUGGUUAAGUCCAGCAACGAGCGCAACCCCUGUUGCCAGUUACCAGCACGUGAAGGUGGGGACUCUGGCGAGACUGCCCAGAUCAACUGGGAGGAAGGUGGGGACGACGUCAGGUCAGUAUGGCCCUUAUGCCCAGGGCUGCACACGUACUACAAUGCCCAGUACAGAGGGGGCCGAAGCCGCGAGGCGGAGGAAAUCCUGAAAACUGGGCCCAGUUCGGACUGUAGGCUGCAACCCGCCUACACGAAGCCGGAAUCGCUAGUAAUGGCGCAUCAGCUACGGCGCCGUGAAUACGUUCCCGGGUCUUGUACACACCGCCCGUCACAUCAUGGAAGCCGGUCGCACCCGAAGUAUCUGAAGCCAACCGCAAGGAGGCAGGGUCCUAAGGUGAGACUGGUAACUGGGAUGAAGUCGUAACAAGGUAGCCGUAGGGGAACCUGCGGCUGGAUCACCUCCUUUCUAUGGA
rnacentral:rRNA from 4 species